rnacentral:RNase_P_RNA from 1 species
AUUUUCGGGUGAUCGCGGUUUGAUUUUUCAAGCUGAGGAAAGUCCAUGCUCGCACAGGCUGAGAUGUCUGUAGUGUUCGUGCUUAGCGAAAUCAUAAGCUAAGGUACUUAAUCCAGUGAAAUCAGCUGAUUUCACUAUAUAAAGUAACGGCAGGAAAAAUGACUAAGGCUACGGCUAUGUCAAAGUACCCUUGAAAGUGCCACAGUGACGAAGCAAUUUUGGAAACGGAAUUGGUGGAACGCGGUAAACCCCUCGAGCGAGCAACCCAAACAAUGGUAGGGGCGCUCUUCUAAAGGAAAUGAACGAGUAGAAGAGGCAGAUUUAUUUCUGCAGAUAGAUGAUGACCAUCACUUGUUUUUCCCUGAGAAAUAAGUGAUACAGAACAUGGCUUACAGAA